UCCACCGUUUGCAGCCAGAGCUAGGGCCGUGUUCCGCUUCCGAGACUGGUGAGUGAUGGUUCUAGUCGUCGAGAUUGUCGGCCACUCCCUUUACAUCUCGCUUUGCAUUGCUGGUCUGCUAGGCGGAAUGAAGCGAAAAAAGCACCGCCGUCUGCAUGUAGCACCAUUCACUCAGUGAGGUUCGAGGAUCGGUGACAAGUACCUAAUUUGAUGCCAGUAAUAGUCGGUCUACUAAAGGCUUUCGGGACAUGAUGCUCUCUCGGGAUCGGACCCCGUUUCCACGAUUUCUGCUCCUUCAGUGACAUUGCUGUUCCUGGCAGCGGCUGCCAGGCAUCCUAAGCAUGCAGCACUCCUUCAUCCUACGGCCACCGAUAUGGUUUACCUCUUCAAUCGGAUGCUUUAUUCCGCUACACACAAGCAUUUCUAGCAUCUUGACAGGCUCCCCAAUCCAGCCCGAUUAUAAACCAGUACCCCCGUCUAUAACAGCACCUUCUGCAGCAUCGGCGAGGUACUCGAAAUCGGUCACCACCUCAGUCGUAAACGAUUGGAUAAAGAACUAUUUUAACCCAUUAAGCCGUGGAAAUUAGACGAGGUGUCAGAGUUUA